AGGAACGAGCUGCUGCUCAUCGAUUGAUUGGUUCUUGAUUUUCUGAAAAGAUGAUUUCAGGGUACGGCUGGAUCUUUGUGCGCUUCUUCUCCCCAAUUUAUUACUUUGCAGCGGCAAAUUGAUCGCUUCAGAUGCUUGUGCCUUGAAUACAGAGGGACCAUGCACACAUGCACGCGCGCACACGUACACACAAAAAAGAUUUUAUCUGAUCAAUCUGAAAUUAGGUCUAGAUACCUAGUUCAGCUUUAAAUUUGAUUCAAGAAGAAAAUUCUUUGGGCUGGAAAGUAUUUUCUUAUCCUGAAUUUAAUGCCCUUCCCUCUCCAAAAUCUUAUAUACUAGACAUGUCCAAGAAAUCUACAAAUUCAACGCCCUAAUAUGGUCUAUGCAGAUUCUGAUAUUUUUAGGAUGUGAAAGAAAGCGAAGUGAAGAUGCAAGGGUGUUUUGCUGACACGUUUUAACCACCUCUGUUUGUUCUCCUCAUCCUCCUUUUGGCAUAUAUCAAUGCUUGCAUAGUCUUUUUCCCUUUUCACUGAUUUUGUGUUAUAGCGGUUGAUUUAUGACAGCUCAUUGGUGAAUUCAUGGUUGUGUGAGGGGGAAAAAACUAUUGCAUGACAAGAAACUAGAACUUGGGAUACAAAUUAAGUGUCCAACACUUACAUAUCAAGAUCAGAAGCUGACGUGAGAAUUGGUGAAGGGAAAGAUGACCAUUUGGUUGCUCACAUUCAAAGUGGCAAAGAACAUGUGGUUAGGGAAGAAAUCAACACAAUUUGGCAGCCUUUGCUUCUUAUACAGGGCAGUAGAGAUGACAAAGCCAUGACAUCGAGUAAAAUCUCAUGCUCAAUCAUCUAUUGUGCAUAUUUUUAUGUUGCCAAUUAUUUCUUCUUCUUCUUCUUAUCAUUAUGUGGAUAGUAAGAGAUGAGAAAUUAAUAUAAGAAAUCUCGGAAGUUCACUUGUUUGGAGACAAAUGUCAGAGGAGCAUUGUUUAUAUGUUGAAUUGUAUAGAGGUAGAAAAUGCUUGGCGGAGAGACAAGAACAUGUAAUACAUUGUAUUUAGAAGAUAUAAAAGGGAAGUCAAAUUACAGCCUAGAUCUGUUAAAACUAUCACUUGAGUGCCCAAAGCCCUAAAUUUGCAAUUUUUGAGUGAAAUUUUCUAAAUGAAGCCUAGAUUUAUUAAAUCUAUCACUCGAGUGCCCAAAGCCCUAAAUUUGCAUUUUUUUUGAAUGGAAUUUCUAAAUGAUAGCCAUCGAAGAACAAAAUUUGUCUCUUUAUGUAGGUUUUCUAAAUGUAAAAUGACACAGAAUAGUCAUGUUUAUACCUGCCAUGUGAUGCAGACCAGUCCUUCAAAGGCUGACGAAUGACAAUUGUACGACUUGUAUUCUCAGACUGAAUCUGAGAACAUCAAGAUAAGGUGCAGAAAACCUUCACUAUGGAAUGUGACGACAGUCCAGAGGCAAAAAAAAGCCGCAAGCUAAAGGAAAUCAGCCAAAAGUCGGAAGAAAAGAAAGAAAGAGGAAGAAAAAAAUGAAAAUUCUGGAUUUUUUAUAAAUCUAUGCCAUACUGAAUUCAACUAGGCAAACCUACCCCCUUUUAUAACUCUAGACUGCACUGAUACUCCUAAAAUAGGGCCCAUAGAAGAUGGAUUCUUUUCUAUACUUUCCUAGCAAAAAAGUGAAAAGCCCAAACACUCUCCUAAAAAAUGUAAAAUUCGUGCACUAUGGGAUCCCUCAUAAAAGAUCGUGAAAAACUUUUUAAAAUUACAAUCAUAAUGAGUCUAAAAUAUUUCUAAUGUACCUAUGAUCCUAGAUAGGACAUUUAGAUGACAUUCCUACUUAAAAUAAGACUCAAAAACGGAUGACAAACUAGGCCCAAAAUUACAUACAAAAAUCCCCUAGAAAAUAGACAAACUAGACUUUUCCUUAAUGACUUGAAACAUGAGACUUUAACUAAACUAAAUCAAAAUAUACGAAGUUCUAAUUUUAGACUUUCUUUUGCCCAAAUAACCUACAUUUCUUCAUAAAUAUUUGAUCUUCAACUAUGACCAUAUGAAUUCCCCUGGCUGAGGGAAAUUCGCUCUGAUAAUUAGCCCAGACCAUCCAAGAAAGCCACCUUCCCUUGGUUUUCUUCAUUUUAUUUGGUAAAAGUGUAAUUUGACGUCCUUGAUGUAGAAAGGCGUAAGUAUUUACCCUAUUAAAUGCACUCCUCUCUUGUCAAAAAAUCAAGGCCAUCCAAGCAUAAUUUGGCCCGCAUCAUGUCUACUCACAGGCUUUCUAUUUGAUUAUAUCUAAUGCACCAGUUUCGCUCAACUGCUCUCUAUGUUCUAUCAUAAAGUCCAAGGUUUUGCAACAUUGUGAUAUUUCUUUUAAUUCUUGAAUUAGAUACUGGAAUGAAAAAGUUACAUAUGGAUAAAUGAGUUCGAGGUAUUAGAGUAGGAGUUAAUACAGUUUGUUUUUUAUCGACUCUAUACUCUGAAAAUAUGGUUUACUGUUUUGCAAUGCUAACUUGUACCCUUAUAAGCUUGGCUGUCAAUGUUAGCCUCAAAAAUUAGUAUACAACUAUACAGGCUAGCUUGUAUUUUCUCAUCCAAAAAUAUGCUAACUUGUGCCUAAAGAGAAUAGUUAUUUGAAAGCAAAAAUGGAAGACACAAGCAGAAGUGGGAUAUAGACAUGUGCAAGUGAAAAAAUUAUUAAUAUGAAAAUCAACUUUAGGCGGGAAUGUAGGAAUAUGGAUAAGAAAAGAAUGUUGGUGCUUCAAAGAGAAUCAGAGAGGAAGUUGAUAAUAUUAUUUUUUAUGGAUGAUACUAGCCCAAGUUGUUUGAUUUCCUAAGAUUUACACUUCCAUAUAAGGUGCAUUUAUGAAACAUAAGAUGACGGCGCCCCUUGAAAUUAGUUGAUCAUAUACUCUGGUCAUUUUGAUAUGAGAUUUGAUGGUUAUUUUUAAGUUCAGUUGUCAUGAGGAUUUAAAUGACAGAUCAGUGGGCUAAUAUAAUUGGGUACUAACCUGUCUUUACGUCUAAAUAGUAUCUACGUGUCCUAUUCCCACCUUUUAUUUCUUGUUGUCUUCUUUCACCUCCAAUCUAGUUUUUUAACCCUUCAAUGAAUCAUUUAACAAAUAUACAUAGAGAAGUUUUCAUGCUGAAAAUUUAUUCUUAUAUUAAUCAAGUCUUGGAUAAAAUCCAAUAAAAGAUGAUGAUAUGAUGUGUUAGAUUGUCUGUAUGAAAAACUUGAAAGACUAUCAUUUGAUGCUUGGAGUAUUUUUUGCUUGCUUACUUAAUCCUUCUAUUAGAAGAUGAAAACUUUGGGCUUUAUUAGCAUAGCUUGUGAGUUAAAGAUAUGAUGGUACCUCCAUCCCAGUACUCAGGUAUUUGGACUAUCUCAAACUGCCUAGUUUCUGUUGCUAUCGGUUAUAAACCAAUCAAUUCCAUGUAGCCAAUUGUAGGAUCACCUAGUGGACAGGCUUAUGCCCGAGCAUUAUAUGGAUUUAAUGAUUGUAAUUUAUUCAAUUAGCUGGAUCUCUUUCUUUGAGUUAUUAUAUGUCCAUGUUUGUGACCAUUUAUAAGAUGUCAGAAGCAAAUUAUUGCUUUGUCAGUUUUUUGGGAAAACUGUUGGCCGUAGGCAUGUGUCCCUCUAAUAGAAGCAAUGUUUUGCCUUCUAUCAAGCUUCUAGAAGCUUGGCAAGUGAGAGCUCAAGUACAUGGAUCUUUUUUGUUCUGUCAAUAACAUUGUAAACUUACUGUUCAUUAUUUUUAAGAAGGUAAAUUCUUUAGCUUAUAGACUGGUUUCCUUUUGUAGGAUAUGGUAAGAUUGACCUCUCCAACCAGGGAAAUAACAUGCAUCUGUUUCUUGGGUUACGAAUGUUGUCUUUUCUCCUCUGACCACGACAGUUUGCUUACUUUUCCUAAUGAAUGAUCAUGUACACGGUCAUGCAGCAUAGGCCUUGGUAACAUUUUGUCUGGUGCACGUGUUAUCUCUGAUGGCAUGCUAGCCUUAGACUCUUGGUGACCUUUCUUCCUAAAAUUUUAUUCAUUUGCUUGCAAAGAUUCAUUGUGUAAAUGUCGUUUUGUUACUUCACUCAUGUGCCUUUCACAGCUCAGCUUCAUGUAUCAAAGAAGAGGAGUUUCUUGAGAGUAUCAUAUACCCUCCGAUAUCCAGUAUAAGGAACAUAGCAAAGGAGGUAGCUGCAGCUGUGGUAAUGGAUGCUGUAGCAGAGGAUCUAAUGAGGGAUACCAUGACAUGGAUGCUUGGGAGUUCUAGACUUAAGUGGAUAAAUGCUUUACAUGGAUAUUUGUAAUCCUGUCAGUCAGUUCAAGUUAUUUUGCUUUAACGAACAACAUGGGGAAUCUGGUCUCUCCAACCUUGGUUUACAGAAAGGACCGAGCACCAUCUCUCUUCCUAAGAUAAUAUUUUUAAUUAGAGGCAACAGGGAAGUAUAUGAGGCAUGAUGAAAGCAAUUGCAGACCUAUUAUGAUCAGAGGUAUUUCACAGUUGCAGUAUCCUUUGUUAUGGGAGUUCAUCGGGCAUACGAGGUUGAGGGCUUGCAUGCCUGCUUAUUGGCAUAUGAUAGGAUGCAAGGUUUUCAUAUUUCCAAUGUAUACCACUUGCUUGAGCCAGGAGGCAUGAGUGAAGUGAGAUACUAUAAAAUUUACUAAUAUCUAUUCCUUGAUGAUUAUCAUCACAGCAAACUCGAACUUUCAAGUGUAUUGGUGAGGCUCUGCACAGGAUGUCAUCAAUCCCACCCCAUAAGCCUGGCAUGUAGCAAAUGAUGAUAACAAGAAAUGAUUGUCAAUAGGUUAUGAUAAACAGGCAGUAUAUUCUCUCAGGGCUCAACUCAUCUGCCAUGACCAAGGAUAUCACUUUUUUAAGAGUCUUAGCAAGUGAUGUCUGAUUAAAGUUGCCACACAUGUCAGUCCUUCAAGUGAUUUAGUGUCAAAAAAAGCUCUAAACGCUGCAAUUCUCUGGAAGGUUGGAGUUGUGCACAAUGAAACUGGCAUGAAGAACUUGCAACGUUUAAGGAUUGGUAUUUGCUCUUUAUUAUAGGAGAGAACAGCUGAAAGAAGAUGCGAAGCGGAGGGGAAAUAAAUUCUAAUUUUCAUCAAAAACCAAAUUUACAAAAGCUUAAGUUAAAAGCUACAAAGCAGUAUGCACAGACCAAAUGCAAGAAGUUGCAUGAAGAUGAUUUGCUGCUCCCCGACAGCAUUGCUUGUACCUUUUUUUUUUUUUUUAAUUGUACAUACUCGUUGUACUGCUCAUUUGGCUGCCAGUUUGUUUUAUGACGGGCUGUUCAUAGGAGGAGUAGCAUUUUAAGAUUUAUUAUGCCUAUGUAUUGUACUUAUCUGCGAGAUUUUUUAUGUUAUUUUUAUUAUUCUUUUAUUUGAAAAGCAUGUCUAACUCUCAAGCUUA